UGCCCUGGCAAUGGGCAAAGAAACACCUUGUUGGUGGUGUUCUUAUAUCAGUCAGGAGCAGAGCAGAUGGCAGUCCAGUGUUCAUCCUAGCUUAAUGCCUGAUUUGGUGGCCAAAGCUGUUUUAUGCCUAUGACUCAUAA